rnacentral:rRNA from 1 species
CAGCCGCCGCGGGAAAACGUAGGUGGCAAGCGUUGUCCGGAAUUAUUGGGCGUAAAGGGCUCGCAGGCGGUUUCUUAAGUCUGAUGUGAAAGCCCCCGGCUCAACCGGGGAGGGUCAUUGGAAACUGGGAAACUUGAGUGCAGAAGAGGAGAGUGAAAUUCCACGUGUAGCGGUGAAAUGCGUAGAGAUGUGGAGGAACACCAGUGGCGAAGGCGACUCUCUGGUCUGUAACUGACGCUGAGGAGCGAAAGCGUGGGGAGCGAACAGGAUUAGAUACCCGUGUAGUCCCUGUCUCUUAUAC